rnacentral:rRNA from 1 species
CAAUCUGAGCAGUGGGACGGCUCGUGCGUCGAUGAGAGCGCAGCCAACUGCGUGAAUUAGUGUGAAUUGCAGGAUAUCUUGAACAUCGACAUCUUGAACGCAUAUUGCGGCCUCAGGUCUCCCCUGUGGCCACGCCUGGCGAGGGUCG